rnacentral:rRNA from 1 species
AUGGUUCUGCUAUCACUAAGAGAUGGUCCCGCGGUGCAUUAGUUAGUUGGUGAGGUAAUGGCUCACCAAGACGAUGAUGCAUAGCCGAGUUGAGAGACUGAUCGGCCACAAUGGGACUGAGACACGGCCCAUACUCCUACGGGAGGCAGCAGUAGGGAAUCUUCCACAAUGGGCGAAAGCCUGAUGGAGCAACGCCGCGUGUGUGAUGAAGGGUUUCGGCUCGUAAAACACUGUUGUAAGAGAAGAAUGACAUUG